ensembl:lncRNA
CAAACAGACAGUCGGACAGAUGUGUGAGGGAGGGAGUGUGUGUGAGGGAGGGAGUGUGUGUGUGAGAGGGAGUGUGUGUGUGAGAGGGAGUGUGUGUGUGUGUGUGAGAGGGAGUGUGUGUGUGAGAGGGAGUGUGUGAGUGUGUGUGUGAGAGGGAGUGUGUGUGUGUGUGUGUGUGAGAGAGGGAGUGUGUGUGAGAGGGAGUGUGUGUGUGAGAGAGAGUGUGUGUGUGUGUGUGAGAGGGAGUGUGUGUGUGAGAGAGGGAGUGUGUGUGUGAGAGAGGGAGUGUGUGUGUGUGUGUGAGAGAGGGAGUGUGUGUGUGUGUGAGAGGAGUGUGUGUGUGUGAGAGGGAGUGUGUGUGUGAGAGGUGUGUGUGUGUGAGAGAGGGAGUGUGUGUGAGUGUGAGAGGGAGUGUGUGUGAGAGAGAGGGAGUGUGUGUGUGUGUGAGAGGGAGGUGUGUGUGUGAGAGAGGGUGUGUGUGUGUGUGAGAGAGGGAGUGUGUGUGUGAGAGAGGAUGUGUGUGUGUGAGGAAGUCUGUGUGUGUGUGUGAGGGAGUCUGUGUGUGUGUGUGUGAGAGAGGCUUUGUGUGUGAGAGAGGCUUUGUGUGUGAGAGAGGCUUUGUGUGUGAGAGAGGCUUUGUGUGUGUGAGAGGCUGUGUGUGUGUGAGAGGAAGUGUGUGUGUGUGUGUGUGUGAGAGAGGGAGUGUGUGUGAGAGAGGGAGUGUGUGUGUGAGAGAGAGUGUGUAUGUGUGUGUGAGAGGGGGAGUGUGUGUGUGUGAGAGAGGGAGUGUGUGUGUGUGAGAGAGGGAGUGUGUGUAUGUGUGAGUGAAAGAGGGAGUGUGUGUGAGAGAGUGUGUGUGUGUGAGAGGGAGUGUGUGUGUGGGAGUGGG